CCCGCUGAACUUAAGCAUAUCAGUAAGCGGAGGAAAAGAAACUAACAAGGAUUCCCCUAGUAACGGCGAGUGAAGCGGGAAGAGCUCAAAUUUAAAAUCUAGUGUCCUUUGGGCAUUCGAAUUGUUAUUGAGAGGGUCUUCUUUUGGCAAGCAUUAUGGUCAAAGUUCUCUGGAAAGGGACAACAAAGAGGGUGACAUUCCCGUCUGGAUCUGUAUGUGCGUCAGUAUAAAAGAAGGCUCUAAGAGUCGGAUUGUUUGGGAAUGCAGUCCAAAAUGGGUGGUACAUUUCAUCUAAAGCUAAAUAAUGGCAAGAGACCGAUAGCGAACAAGUACCGUGAGGGAAAGAUGAAAAGAACUUUGAAAAGAGAGUUAAAUAGUACGUGAAAUUGUUAAAAGGGAAACGAUUGAGACCAGUGAUGCAUCUUGUCCUUGAGCUUUUCUUUCGAGAAAAGUGUAUGGCCAAGAGCACGUUGACGCUCCUUUUGAAUCUUGGAAAAGGCAGAGGGAAAGGUGGCUCUACCUUCGGGUAGCUGCUUUAUAGUCCCUUUGAGAUACAAGGUUUGGGAGGUGACAGGUAGAACGCAAGUUCACGUCGACGAAAUGGUCUUAAACGACCCGUCUUGAAACACGG
rnacentral:rRNA from 1 species